rnacentral:rRNA from 1 species
GGCGGCGUGCUUAACACAUGCAAGUCGAGCGGAAAGGCCCUUCGGGGGUACUCGAGCGGCGAACGGGUGAGUAACACGUGAGUAACCUGCCCCUGACUCUGGGAUAAGCCUGGGAAACUGGGUCUAAUACCGGAUAUGACUACUUCGGGCAUCCGAUGGUGGUGGAAAGUUUUUUCGGUUGGGGAUGGACUCGGGGCCUAUCAGCUUGUUGGUGGGGUAGUGGCCUACCAAGGCGACGACGGGUAGCCGGCCUGAGAGGGCGACCGGCCACACUGGGACUGAGACACGGCCCAGACUCCUACGGGAGGCAGCAGUGGGGAAUAUUGCGCAAUGGGCGAAAGCCUGAGCCAGCGACGCCGCGUGGGGGAUGACGGCCUUCGGGUUGUAAACCUCUUUCAGCAGGGACGAAGUUGACGUGUACCUGUAGAAGAAGCGCCGGCUAACUACGUGCCAGCAGCCGCGGUAAUACGUAGGGCGCAAGCGUUGUCCGGAAUUAUUGGGCGUAAAGAGCUCGUAGGUGGCUUGUCGCGUCUGCCGUGAAAGCUUAGGGCUUAACCCUAGGUCUGCGGUGGAUACGGGCAGGCUAGAGGCUGGUAGGGGCAAGCGGAAUUCCUGGUGUAGCGGUGAAAUGCGCAGAUAUCAGGAGGAACACCGGUGGCGAAGGCGGCUUGCUGGGCCAGUUCUGACGCUGAGGAGCGAAAGCGUGGGGAGCGAACAGGAUUAGAUACCCUGGUAGUCCACGCUGUAAACGUUGGGCGCUAGGUGUGGGGUGCUUCCACGAGACCCGUGCCGUAGCUAACGCAUUAAGCGCCCCGCCUGGGGAGUACGGCCGC